GGAGUUGUGGCUCAGUGGGCAGAGCGCUUGCCUAGCAUGCAUGAGGCACUGAGUUCGAUCCCCAGCACCA
rnacentral:tRNA from 1 species